UCUCUCAAACAGCCAGUUCAGGUGCACAGC
rnacentral:piRNA from 1 species